rnacentral:rRNA from 1 species
UACGGAGGGGGCAAGCGUUGUUCGGAAUUACUGGGCGUAAAGGGCGCGCAGGCGGCUGCUCAAGUCAGAUGUGAAAGCCCCGGGCUCAACCUGGGAACUGCAUUUGAGACUGAAGAACUCGAGUUCGGGAGAGGAUGGCGGAAUUCCCAGUGUAGAGGUGAAAUUCGUAGAUAUUGGGAAGAACACCGGUGGCGAAGGCGACAUCCUGGACCGGUAUUGACGCUGAGGCGCGAAAGCCAGGGGAGCAAACGGG